UGCGGAUUAGAGAAGUGGUUAUCUCGCUAGCUUCAUGGGCUAGAGGUCAAAGGUUCAAAUCCUUUAUCCGCACCCA
rnacentral:tRNA from 1 species